rnacentral:rRNA from 1 species
AAUGAACGUUGGCGGCGUGGAUUAGGCAUGCAAGUCGAGCGGGUAUAGCAAUAUAUCAGCGGCGAAAGGGAGAGUAACGCGUAGCUACGUACCCCGGAGUCCAGAAUAGCCAGCCGAAAGGCUGGGUAAUGCUGGAUGAUGUCUCCGGACUAAAGGUGUGAUUCCGCUUUGGGAGCGGGCUGCGUUGUACUAGCUAGUUGGUAGGGUAAUGGCCUACCAAGGCGAUGAUGCAUACCGGGCGUGAGAGCGUGGCCCGGCUCACUGGGACUGAGACACUGCCCAGACACCUACGGGUGGCUGCAGUCGAGAAUCUUCGGCAAUGAGCGCAAGCUUGAACGAGCGACGCCGCGUGCGGGAUGAAGGCCUUCGGGUUGUAAACCGCUGUCAGUGGGAAUGAAAUGCCAGGGGGCUCACCUCCUGGUUUGACAGACCCGCAGAGGAAGGACGGGCUAAGUUCGUGCCAGCAGCCGCGGUAAGAC